rnacentral:rRNA from 1 species
UAACAGUUGGAAACGACUGCUAAGACUGGAUAGGAGACAAGAAGGCAUCUUCUUGUUUUUAAAAGACCUAGCAAUAGGUAUGCUUAGGGAGGAGCUUGCGUCACAUUAGUUAGUUGGGGGGGUAAAGGCCUACCAAGACUAUGAUGUGUAGCCGGGCUGAGAGGUUGAACGGCCACAUUGGGACUGAGACACGGCCCAAACUCCUACGGGAGGCAGCAGUAGGGAAUUUUCGGCAAUGGAGGAAACUCUGACCGAGCAACGCCGCGUGAACGAUGAAGUAUUUCGGUACGUAAAGUUCUUUUAUUAGGGAAGAAUAAAUGAUGGAAAAAUCAUUCUGACGGUACCUAAUGAAUAAGCCCCGGCUAACUAUGUGCCAGCAGCCGCGGUAAUACAUAGGGGGCAAGCGUUAUCCGGAAUUAUUGGGCGUAAAGGGUGCGUAGGCGGUUAAAUAAGUUUAUGGUCUAAGUGCAAUGCUCAACAUUGUGAUGCUAUAAAAACUGUUUAGCUAGAGUAAGAUAGAGGCAAGUGGAAUUCCAUGUGUAGUGGUAAAAUGCGUAAAUAUAUGGAGGAACACCAGUAGCGAAGGCGGCUUGCUGGGUCUUUACUGACGCUGAGGCACGAAAGCGUGGGGAGCAAACAGGAUUAGAUACCCUGGUAGUCCACGCCGUAAACGAUGAGUACUAAACGUUGGGUAAAACCAGUGUUGAAGUUAACACAUUAAGUACUCCGCCUGAGUAGUACGUACGCAAGUAUGAAACUUAAAGGAAUUGACGGGACUCCGCACAAGCGGUGGAUCAUGUUGUUUAAUUCGAAGGUACCCGAAAAACCUCACCAGGUCUUGACAUGCUUCUGCAAAGCUGUAGAAACACAGUGGAGGUUAUCAGUUGCACAGGUGGUGCAUGGUUGUCGUCAGCUCGUGUCGUGAGAUGUUGGGUUAAGUCCCGCAACGAGCGCAACCCUUAUUGUUAGUUACCAGCACGUAAUGGUGGGGACUUUAGCAAGACUGCCAGUGAUAAAUUGGAGGAAGGUGGGGACGACGUCAAAUCAUCAUGCCCCUUAUGACCUGGGCUACAAACGUGAUACAAUGGCUGUUACAAAGGGUAGCUGAAGCGCAAGUUUUUGGCGAAUCUCAAAAAAACAGUCUCAGUUCGGAUUGAAGUCUGCAACUCGACUUCAUGAAGUUGGAAUCGCUAGUAAUCGCGAAUCAGCAUGUCGCGGUGAAUACGUUCUCGGGGUUUGUACACACCGCCCGUCAAACC